rnacentral:rRNA from 1 species
UUAAGCGACUAAGCGUACACGGUGGAUGCCCUGGCAGUCAGAGGCGAUGAAGGACGUGCUAAUCUGCGAAAAGCGUCGGUAAGGUGAUAUGAACCGUUAUAACCGGCGAUGUCCGAAUGGGGAAACCCAGUGCAAUUCGUUGCACUAUCGUUAACUGAAUACAUAGGUUAACGAGGCGAACCGGGGGAACUGAAACAUCUAAGUACCCCGAGGAAAAGAAAUCAACCGAGAUUCCCCCAGUAGCGGCGAGCGAACGGGGAGCAGCCCAGAGUCUGAAUCAGCUUGUGUGUUAGUGGAACGGUCUGGAAAGUCCGACGGUACAGGGUGAUAGUCCCGUACACCAAAAUGCACAGGUUGUGAACUCGAAGAGUAGGGCGGGACACGUGGUAUCCUGUCUGAAUAUGGGGGGACCAUCCUCCAAGGCUAAAUACUCCUGACUGACCGAUAGUGAACCAGUACCGUGAGGGAAAGGCGAAAAGAACCCCGGCGAGGGGAGUGAAAAAGAACCUGAAACCGUGUACGUACAAGCAGUGGGAGCACCUUCGGGUGUGACUGCGUACCUUUUGUAUAAUGGGUCAGCGACUUAUAUUCUGUAGCAAGGUUAACCGUAUAGGGGAGCCGCAGGGAAACCGAGUCUUAACUGGGCGUUAAGUUGCAGGGUAUAGACCCGAAACCCGGUGAUCUAGCCAUGGGCAGGUUGAAGGUUGGGUAACACUAACUGGAGGACCGAACCGACUAAUGUUGAAAAAUUAGCGGAUGACUUGUGGCUGGGGGUGAAAGGCCAAUCAAACCGGGAGAUAGCUGGUUCUCCCCGAAAGCUAUUUAGGUAGCGCCUCGUGAANUCAUCUUCGGGGGUAGAGCACUGUUUCGGCUAGGGGGUCAUCCCGACUUACCAACCCGAUGCAAACUACGAAUACCGAAGAAUGUUAUCACGGGAGACACACGGCGGGUGCUAACGUCCGUCGUGAAGAGGGAAACAACCCAGACCGCCAGCUAAGGUCCCAAAGUCAUGGUUAAGUGGGAAACGAUGUGGGAAGGCACAGACAGCCAGGAUGUUGGCUUAGAAGCAGCCAUCAUUUAAAGAAAGCGUAAUAGCUCACUGGUCGAGUCGGCCUGCGCGGAAGAUGUAACGGGGCUAAACCAUGCACCGAAGCUGCGGCAGCGACACUAUGUGUUGUUGGGUAGGGGAGCGUUCUGUAAGCCUGCGAAGGUGNUGCUGGAGGUAUCAGAAGUGCGAAUGCUGACAUAAGUAACGAUAAAGCGGGUGAAAAGCCCGCUCGCCGGAAGACCAAGGGUUCCUGUCCAACGUUAAUCGGGGCAGGGUGAGUCGACCCCUAAGGCGAGGCCGAAAGGCGUAGUCGAUGGGAAACAGGUUAAUAUUCCUGUACUUGGUGUUACUGCGAAGGGGGGACGGAGAAGGCUAUGUUAGCCGGGCGACGGUUGUCCCGGUUUAAGCAUGUAGGCUGGUUGUCCAGGCAAAUCCGGAUAAUCAAGGCUGAGGUGUGAUGACGAGGCACUACGGUGCUGAAGUAACAAAUGCCCUGCUUCCAGGAAAAGCCUCUAAGCAUCAGGUAACAUUAAAUCGUACCCCAAACCGACACAGGUGGUCAGGUAGAGAAUACCAAGGCGCUUGAGAGAACUCGGGUGAAGGAACUAGGCAAAAUGGUGCCGUAACUUCGGGAGAAGGCACGCUGGUGUGUAGGUGAAGCCCCUGCGGGUGGAGCUGAGACCAGUCGAAGAUACCAGCUGGCUGCAACUGUUUAUUAAAAACACAGCACUGUGCAAACACGAAAGUGGACGUAUACGGUGUGACGCCUGCCCGGUGCCGGAAGGUUAAUUGAUGGGGUUAUCCGUAAGGAGAAGCUCUUGAUCGAAGCCCCGGUAAACGGCGGCCGUAACUAUAACGGUCCUAAGGUAGCGAAAUUCCUUGUCGGGUAAGUUCCGACCUGCACGAAUGGCGUAAUGAUGGCCAGGCUGUCUCCACCCGAGACUCAGUGAAAUUGAACUCGCUGUGAAGAUGCAGUGUACCCGCGGCAAGACGGAAAGACCCCGUGAACCUUUACUAUAGCUUGACACUGAACAUUGAGCCUUGAUGUGUAGGAUAGGUGGGAGGCUUUGAAGCGUGGACGCCAGUCUGCGUGGAGCCAACCUUGAAAUACCACCCUUUAAUGUUUGAUGUUCUAACGUUGGCCCCUNUGGAGCUGAGACCAGUCGAAGAUACCAGCUGGCUGCAACUGUUUAUUAAAAACACAGCACUGUGCAAACACGAAAGUGGACGUAUACGGUGUGACGCCUGCCCGGUGCCGGAAGGUUAAUUGAUGGGGUUAUCCGUAAGGAGAAGCUCUUGAUCGAAGCCCCGGUAAACGGCGGCCGUAACUAUAACGGUCCUAAGGUAGCGAAAUUCCUUGUCGGGUAAGUUCCGACCUGCACGAAUGGCGUAAUGAUGGCCAGGCUGUCUCCACCCGAGACUCAGUGAAAUUGAACUCGCUGUGAAGAUGCAGUGUACCCGCGGCAAGACGGAAAGACCCCGUGAACCUUUACUAUAGCUUGACACUGAACAUUGAGCCUUGAUGUGUAGGAUAGGUGGGAGGCUUUGAAGCGUGGACGCCAGUCUGCGUGGAGCCAACCUUGAAAUACCACCCUUUAAUGUUUGAUGUUCUAACGUUGGCCCCUGACCGGGGUUGCGGACAGUGUCUGGUGGGUAGUUUGACUGGGGCGGUCUCCUCCCAAAGCGUAACGGAGGAGCACGAAGGUUAGCUAAUCCUGGUCGGACAUCAGGAGGUUAGUGCAAUGGCAUAAGCUAGCUUGACUGCGAGCGUGACGGCGCGAGCAGGUGCGAAAGCAGGUCAUAGUGAUCCGGUGGUUCUGAAUGGAAGGGCCAUCGCUCAACGGAUAAAAGGUACUCCGGGGAUAACAGGCUGAUACCGCCCAAGAGUUCAUAUCGACGGCGGUGUUUGGCACCUCGAUGUCGGCUCAUCACAUCCUGGGGCUGAAGUAGGUCCCAAGGGUAUGGCUGUUCGCCAUUUAAAGUGGUACGCGAGCUGGGUUUAGAACGUCGUGAGACAGUUCGGUCCCUAUCUGCCGUGGGCGCUGGAGAAUUGAGGGGGGCUGCUCCUAGUACGAGAGGACCGGAGUGGACGCAUCACUGGUGUUCGGGUUGUCAUGCCAAUGGCACUGCCCGGUAGCUAAAUGCGGAAGAGAUAAGUGCUGAAAGCAUCUAAGCACGAAACUUGCCCCGAGAUGAGUUCUCCCUGAGACUUUAAGUCUCCUGAAGGAACGUUGAAGACGACGACGUUGAUAGGCCGGGUGUGUAAGCGCAGCGAUGCGUUGAGCUAACCGGUACUAAUGAACCGUGAGGCUUAACCUU